rnacentral:rRNA from 1 species
UACGGGGGGGGCAAGCGUUGUUCGGAAUUACUGGGCGUAAAGGGCUUGUAGGUGGCCAACUAAGUCAGACGUGAAAUCCCUCAGCUUAACUGGGGAACUGCGUCUGAUACUGGAUGGCUUGAGUUUGGGAGAGGGAUGCGGAAUUCCAGGUGUAGCGGUGAAAUGCGUAGAUAUCAGGAGGAACACCGAUGGCGAAGGCAGGUCUCUGGGCCAUAACUGACGCUGAGAAGCGAAAGCAUGGGGAGCGAACGGG